CCUACGGGGGGCUGCAGUGGGGAAUAUUGGACAAUGGGGGCAACCCUGAUCCAGCCAUGCCGCGUGUGUGAAGAAGGCCCUCGGGUUGUAAAGCACUUUCAGUGAGGAAGAACGCCUGGUGGUUAAUACCCAUCAGGAAAGACAUCACUCACAGAAGAAGCACCGGCUAACUCCGUGCCAGCAGCCGCGGUUAUACGGAGGGUGCGAGCGUUAAUCGGAAUUACUGGGCGUAAAGCGCGCGUAGGUGGCUUGAUAAGCCGGUUGUGAAAGCCCCGGGCUCAACCUGGGAACGGCAUCCGGAACUGUCAAGCUAGAGUGCAGGAGAGGAAGGUAGAAUUCCCGGUGUAGCGGUGAAAUGCGUAGAGAUCGGGAGGAAUACCAGUGGCGAAGGCGGCCUUCUGGACUGACACUGACACUGAGGUGCGAAAGCGUGGGUAGCAAACAGGAUUAGAUACCCUUGUAGUC
rnacentral:rRNA from 1 species